UACGGGGGGUGCGAGCGUUGUCCGGAAUCACUGGGCGUAAAGGGCGCGUAGGUGGUUUGAUACGGGUGUGGUGAAAGUCCGGGGCUCAACCCCGGAUCUGCCGUGCCGACUGUCAAACUCGAGGACUGUAGAGGCAGACGGAAUUCCGGGUGUAGCGGUGGAAUGCGUAGAGAUCCGGAGGAAGACCGGUGGCGAAGGCGGUCUGCUGGGCAGUUUCUGACACUGAGGCGCGACAGCGUGGGGAGCAAACAGG
rnacentral:rRNA from 1 species